rnacentral:rRNA from 1 species
AUUGAACGCUGGCGGCAGGCUUAACACAUGCAAGUCGAGCGAGCGGCGGACGGGUGAGUAAUGUCUGGGAAACUGCCUGAUGGAUGGGGAUAACUACUGGGAACGGUAGCUAAUACCGCAUAUCAUAAGAUGUUCCCAGAUGGGAUUAGCUAGUAGGUGGGGUAAUGGAUCACAUAAGCGACGAUCCCUCGCUGGUCUGAGAGGAUGACGAGCCACACGGGAACGGAGGAACGGUCCAGACGGGUACGGGAGGCAGCAGAGGGGAAUAUGGGAGAAAGGGCGCAAGCCUAAUGCGGCAAUGGCGCGUGUGUGAAGAAGGCCUUCGGGUUGUAGAGAACUUUCAGCGAGGAGGCGUUACUCGCAGAAGAAGCACCGGCUAACUCCGUGCCAGCAGCCGCGGUAAUUC